rnacentral:rRNA from 1 species
CAGCCAGACUCCUACGGGAGGCAGCAGUGGGGAAUAUUGGGCAAUGGGCGCAAGCCUGACCCAGCAACGCCGCGUGAAGGAAGAAGGCUUUCGGGUUGUAAACUUCUUUUGACAGGGAAGAGCAGAAGACGGUACCUGUCGAAUAAGCCACGGCUAACUACGUGCCAGCAGCCGCGGUAAUACGUAGGUGGCAAGCGUUGUCCGGAUUUAUUGGGUGUAAAGGGCGUGUAGGCGGGAAAGCAAGUCAGAUGUGAAAACUCAGGGCUCAACCCUGAGCCUGCAUUUGAAACUGUUUUUCUUGAGUGCUGGAGAGGCAAUCGGAAUUCCUAGUGUAGCGGUGAAAUGCGUAGAUAUUAGGAGGAACACCAGUGGCGAAGGCGGCCUGCUGGACGACAACUGACGGUGAGGCGCGAAAGCGUGGGGAGCAAACAGGAUUAGAUACCCUCGUACG